ACUACAACGAUCUUUGUCAAAAGAGAGAAGCAUUCAUCUUGGGGGAAGACAUAUGGAAAAAAAAUGAAGAUCAAGGAGAGGGGCAAAAAAGAAAACGUAAACCAAAAAGGUGGAUUGAAGAUGAUACAGAAGCAUCAAAACAGCCACAAGCAAAAAAGGUCUGUCGCGCUAAAGAGGCUGCAGAUCAAAUGAUUGAGGAAUUAAAAAGAGAUCUUAUGGAACAAGGAGUUGAGUCACCCGCUGACUUGUCAGAUGAAGACCAGCCACGGAACUGGAGCAGGGCGAUGCUCCAAAUUAAGCAAUUAAGAGCAGAGAACAAAAGGAUCCAAGCUGACAAUACAAAACAAAUUGUCGAGGCUCUAAGAGAGCUUCCAAAAGUUGUACAACAGUUGAAGGACAUCAGUGAGCAGUUGUCAUCCAUAUGCUGUCCCUCAAAAGCCAGUACAACAACUCAACACUUGUCAGUUC